CGUGAGGGAAAGGCGAAAAGAACCCCGGCGAGGGGAGUGAAAAAGAACCUGAAACCGUGUACGUACAAGCAGUGGGAGCACAGGUUUACCUGUGUGACUGCGUACCUUUUGUAUAAUGGGUCAGCGACUUAUAUUCUGUAGCAAGGUUAACCGUAUAGGGGAGCCGGAGGGAAACCGAGUCUUAACCGGGCGUUAAGUUGCAGGGUAUAGACCCGAAACCCGGUGAUCUAGCCAUGGGCAGGUUGAAGGUUGGGUAACACUAACUGGAGGACCGAACCGACUAAUGUUGAAAAAUUAGCGGAUGACCUGUGGCUGGGGGUGAAAGGCCAAUCAAACCGGGAGAUAGCUGGUUCUCCCCGAAAGCUAUUUAGGUAGCGCCUCGUGAAUUCAUCUCCGGGGGUAGAGCACUGUUUCGGCUAGGGGGCCAUCCCGGCUUACCAACCCGAUGCAAACUGCGAAUACCGGAGAAUGUUAUCACGGGAGACACACGGCGGGUGCUAACGUCCGUCGUGAAGAGGGAAACAACCCAGACCGC
rnacentral:rRNA from 1 species